GCAAAACCAACUAGGUGAGCGUA
rnacentral:snRNA from 1 species